CAACUACUCCCUCUGUCCCAAAAUUAUUGUCUUAGAUUUGUCUAGAUACGGAUGUAUCUAAUACUAAAAUGUGACUUGAUACAUCCGUAUCUAGACAAAUCUAAGACAAGAAUUUUGGGACAGAGGGAGUACUUU
rnacentral:pre_miRNA from 1 species